rnacentral:rRNA from 1 species
AGUGAACGCUGGCGGUAGGCCUAACACAUGCAAGUCGAACGGCAGCACAGUAAGAGCUUGCUCUUACGGGUGGCGAGUGGCGGACGGGUGAGGAAUACAUCGGAAUCUACUUUUUCGUGGGGGAUAACGUAGGGAAACUUACGCUAAUACCGCAUACGACCUACGGGUGAAAGCAGGGGAUCUUCGGACCUUGCGCGAUUGAAUGAGCCGAUGUCGGAUUAGCUAGUUGGCGAGGUAAAGGCCCACCAAGGCGACGAUCCGUAGCUGGUCUGAGAGGAUGAUCAGCCACACUGGAACUGAGACACGGUCCAGACUCCUACGGGAGGCGGCAGUGGGGAAUAUUGGACAAUGGGCGCAAGCCUGAUCCAGCCAUACCGCGUGGGUGAAGAAGGCCUUCGGGUUGUAAAGCCCUUUUGUUGGGAAAGAAAAGCAGCAGGUUAAUACCCCGCUGUUCUGACGGUACCCAAAGAAUAAGCACCGGCUAACUUCGUG